rnacentral:rRNA from 1 species
UACCAGCACCCCGAGUGGUCGGGACGUCUAUUGGGCCUAAAGCAUCCGUAGCCGGUUCUACAAGUCUUCCGUUAAAUCCACCUGCUUAACAGAUGGGCUGCGGAAGAUACUAUGGAGCUAGGAGGCGGGAGAGGCAAGCGGUACUCGAUGGGUAGGGGUAAAAUCCGUUGAUCCAUUGAAGACCACCAGUGGCGAAGGCGGCUUGCCAGAACGCGCUCGACGGUGAGGGAUGAAAGCUGGGGGAGCAAACCGG